rnacentral:lncRNA from 1 species
GAGGUCAAUGUAGUAGAGGUUAUGAACGUGUAAAAUUGAACAUGUCUUUAACUAUUACAUGACAUAAAGAUGUAUUUAAAAUACAGUGGUAUGAUUUAAUCAACCAAGGGAGUCAGUGUCCCCUACCUUGUAUUAAUGAACAAAGGGAGUUGUUCUCCCCAAGUUAAUGGAAAUUAUUUUGGCAUUAUUGUUACCUUGCAAGUGU